AUGCAGUUAAGAAAACACUUGUUUUUGCUGCUCUUUUUGAAGCUCGUUUUGAUAUUUAUUUGCAGCUCGUUGAAUUUCAUUUUGCUGUUCACUGUCAGAUCCAUGGCGCUGGCCGUGCUUUCUCCUACUGCUCUGUGUGAGGUGAGGAUGGGUUCUCUGUUGGCAAGUUCAUUGCGGGACUCCAUGGCGCUGGUCGCGCUGCUCCUUUUCUUGUUGCUAUGUCUGAGGCGAGGACGGGCUCUGCCGCACCGGGAACCAGGGUGUUCGCGACACCGGCGAAGACGGCGUGGUGGUUCCCUUCUUCCCCAACAACAGAAGUUGCGGUGUGGCUAUGCAAUUGUUGAAGUUCAGGAAUAUGUUUGGUGUCUUUUCAGAUUUCGUUUGGGCGCAACACUGCAGUUCGCAUGGGUCUUCACAACGGUGCGGAUGGGUGUGCAGUAG
rnacentral:rRNA from 1 species